GCGCGCGGCCUCCUGGCUCUGCGCGGGCCGGCCUCUCGUGGCGCGUGGGGCGGAAGAGGCCAGAUGCAGUGGACGCCCUGUAGAGGACGUGGUAUCCUCCGUAUGGAGGGAGGCUACCUGAGUGCAGGAAACAAACACGUCUUGACUGUAACCUCAGCAUUGAGCUGGGAUGCGCCCAGGAUGCCAGUGUUCCCCAGGAACUCCGUUUGAAAACCACUGAACUAGAGUUUGGAAGUCAAAAGUGAUAUUUUGUGUGUAACGAGUGGUCUGAUGUCCCCGUCUCCAUGAACUCUGUCUUUGGAGAGCUGUCAGAACCGGCUGUACUGAGGCGGGGCUUCUCACAUUCCGCAGCUGGGCCUCCGAGGCAGAGGGGCAGGGGCCUCACAGCUGCUGUUUAUCCCACUCGUGUUGCAGCCCGAGAACAAUGCGUCCUGCUGACUGAGGGAGGAGAGUAAUGCUCCGUUGUUGGCGCGGUGGCUAAAGGGGGGCUCUGAGCGUGGGGAUCCCUGCAUGCUCUCUCCUUUCGUCUGGAGUUUUCUCAGGAGCUUAGCCGCUUUUCUAAGAUGUGCUGUUAUGCUGGGAAGUCGGGGGUGGAAAUCCAGUAUCCGAUACAACGCCGAAAACACACACACCAGAACUCAGACCACACUUAGCCCAGGAGGAGGCCCUUCUCGCAGGUUUGGGUGGGCUUAGCUCUGCAGACUCCUACAAUCCUGAGCGAAGCAGAAGUAAGAUGUCUAGGGGGAGAGGUCCAACUCACGUGCAUGGGAUGGUGCAGGACUCCAUUCAAGCCAGAAAAAUUAAAGAUCGUUUGUCAGUCAGGUGUAUGAAGGCGCUCUCAUUUUUUUUUCUUUUGUUUUGCUUUAUGUUCUAGCUUGAAAUGUUUGUGACUUUUAUACAUAUUGUGUAUCGGUCUUCUUGUCUCAUCUUCUCCUUAACCUGCUUCAUGGCAGCAUCCAAGUCCUGCUACAUUUGUGCGUGUAGUAGAUGUGCCUACAGGGGCAGUUCCUAGGGAUGGGUCACUAGGGGUUGGGUCUUGAGGAGGAGGAGGAAGAUGAAAAGUAGUGGGGUGACUGGAAAGAGGAAAGGGAGUGGGAGUCACGAUUUUGCUACAAGUAAGAUCCUUUAAAUAUUCAGAGAACCAACUCCCUGUUGUGUUUUCAAAUUGUUUAAUUUAUUGCCCUUUGAUUUUCAGGUUCACUUGGACAGUCUUUUCCCAAGCAUUUUUAUUAUUUUCUCUGUGUGUCUCAUUUCUCACUAGUGCUGUGCUGCCUUGUUCAUUUUUUAAAAAUUAAUUAAUUAAUUUUUGGCUGCGUUGGGUCUUGUUGCUGCACGCGGGCUUUCUCUAGUUGUGGUGAGCAGGGGCUACUCUUCAUUGCGGUGCGCGGGCUUCUCAUUGUGGUGGCCUCUGGUUGCAGAGCACGGGCUCUAGGCACGCGGGCUUCGGUAGCUGUGGCACGUAGGCUUUAGUAGUUGUGGCUGGCGGGCUCUAGAGCACAGGCUCAGUAGUUGUGGCUCUCGGGCUUAGUUGCUCCACGGCAUGUGGGAUCUUCCCGGACCAGGGCUCGAACCCGUGUCCCCUGCAGUGGCAGGCGGAUUCUUAACCACUGCGCCACCAGGGAAGUCCCUGCCUUGUUCAUUUUCAUUGUUCGUUUUGCACCUAGCUCUCUGAAUCCUCACCUUCCUUCCAGUUUACCGCAGAUUCUAUAGGUUCUAAAGCCCCUAUCUUCUUUCAGAGCUUUCAUGAAACUCCGUAUAUCUGUGAAAACAGUUACACAUACGGUGCUUGUUAUGGGUGUGACACGAUGGUAAGUGCUUAUAUGAGACAGAUUCUAGUAUGACCCCUCGUCACAGGAGGAAACUAAAGCGCAGGGAGGUUAAUAACCUGACCACGGUCACCCAGCUGGGAAGGACAGAACCAAGGAUUCCGACCCAAGUGGUCUGUGCUCUUCACCACCGCACACAGACCCUCCUACUCACAGCGAAUGACCUGCUUCGUACUGACACGGCCACAUUUUCAAAAAUGUAUUUUGUGUGUGUGUGUGUGGUAUGCGGGCCUCUCACUGCUGUGGCCUCUCCCGUUGCGGAGCACAGGCUCCGGACGCGCAGGCUCAGCGGCCACGGCUCACGGGCCCAGCCGCUCCGCGGCACGUGGGAUCCUCCCGGACCGGGGCACAAACCCGCGUCCCCUGCAUCGGCAGGCGGACGCGCAACCACUGCGCCACCAGGGAAGCCCUCAAAAAUGUAUUUUUAUUGAAGUAGAGUUGAUUUACAAUGUUGCGUUAAUUUCUUCUGCACAGCAGAGUGAUUCAGUUAUGCAUAUAUAUAUUCAUUCUUUUUCAUAGUCUUUUCCAUUAUGGUUUAUCACAGGAUAUUGAACAUAGUUCCCUGUGCUCUACAGUAAGACCUUGUUUUUUAUCCAUUCUAUGUAUAAUAGUUUUCAUCUGCUAAUCCCAAACUCCCAGUCCUUCCCUCCCCCAACCCCUCCACUCCCCGCUUGGCAAGCACAAGUCUGCUCUCUGUGUCUGUGGGUCUGUUUCAUAGAUAAGUUCAUCUGUGUCAUAUUUUAGAUUCCACAUAUAGGUGAUAUCGUAUGGCGGCGUGGCCACAUUCCCGCUGCUGCCUGUGGACCGUGACCUUCUGUACUUCUGAAGCUUUCCUCCGUAGUCUUUCCCAGAAACUACUGUGGUGGACAUGGUGAUCUGCUGCACGACUCCCCUUCGAGGAUGGACGUGUGGCCCCAGCUGCUGGAACGUGGCUGACAGCUGCUGGCUCCAGAACCCGUCUCAGCUGCAGGGGGUUCCCUGGCUCAACGUUGCGUCCUUUCCAAGGCAGCCCACACUCAGUGACCAAGGAGGGUAUAAAGACUCCGCUGUUUCGGCCCGACACGGAAUUACAUGAUGAGCCAUUUUGGAGCCUGAGCUCCCUGUGGGGCUGGGUGAGGCUGCCGUCACACCUGCCAUCAUGCCUGCAUGGCAGCUCAACUCCUUCUACUCACUCCUCCUUCCUCCUCCGCUGUGGAUCCCAAAGGCACUCUCCAACAAACUGAGACUGUUACCAGAGGCCUCGGGUACUCAGAGAACUGUACCACCUUCACUCUGUAGGCUAAAAUGAAAGGCAAGAGACGGGUCUAAGGAAAAGCCAAAGACAAAGAAAAUAUUGACGAUGAUUUUUAAAGAUGCCAAAGAUACCAUCUUGCAUUACUUUAAUCCAGUCUCCUCCAUUGAUCAUUUCUGGGUGACUUUGUUAUCCUCUAAAACUUUUAUGUAACAGUAUAGCAGUUCCUAAAAAAAAUUAAAAAUAGAAUUACCAUAUGAUCCAGCAAUCCUGCUUCUGGGUAUAUACCCCAAAGCAAUGAAAAGUAUUUAUACACCCAUGUUCAUAGCAGCAUUGUUCAUGACAGCCAAAAGGUGGAAACAACCCCAAAUCCAUCAGCGGAUGACUAGAUAAGCAAAAUGUGUAUAUGCACAAUGGAAUAUUAUUCAGCCUUAAAAAGGAAGGAGAUUCUUACACAUGCUACAACAUGGAUGAAACUUGACAGUGUUAUGCUAAGUGAAAUAAGCCAGACACCAAAAGACAAAUAUUGCAUGAUUCCACUUAUAUGAGGUACAGACUCGUCAGAUUCACAGAGACUGAAAGUAGAGUGGUGGUACCAGGGGCUGGGUGGAGGAGGGGGAAGGGGAGUUUCUGUUUAACGGGGACAGAGUUUCACUUUUACAAGAGGAAAAGGGUUCUGGGGGUUGGUUGCACAACAAUGUGAAUAUACUCAACACUACUGAACUGCACACUUAAAAAUGCUUAAGAUGGUAAAUUUUAUGUUUGGUGUAUUUUACCACAAUUUAAAAAAAAACAACUUUCAUGUGGCAAAAUGUCAAAAUUCAAUUUCAUCAAGAGAGCAUUUAAGAGAACAUUUCUCAGACUUUUCCCCAUGUACACAGUUCUCUGAAAAUAGUCAUAGAUCUGAUGCUGCCUAGCGUAAGCCUUUGAAAGAGAGCUAAAUCCCCCCACAGGAUACGAAAGACAAAGCCUUGAAGAAUCACGGAAAAGAGCGAGCAGGAAGUUCUCAGGGGAAAUAGUGCUACAUGCAGGAAUGCCCACCACGGGGCUGGACGUGUGGCGGCUGUGAGGACGGGCACUUCUUGUGUCCACCGAAGAUAGUCUGAGGGCAGAAUGCGGGAGAGAGUGGAGAGAACACCUGUAUUCCUGGCCGCACACCACCUGGAGCAGGUCGUUCGCCAUGGUCACAGGAAACUGCAAGGAAGGCCCAUUUGCUGGGACUCUCGGAGGGCAGUCCCAAUAGCAGGCGCGAAACAGGAAGAACAAGAACAACGGCGGUUCUGAAGCCCAUUCAGCGCCUCUGGGGAAAAGUGCCUAGAAGGACUCAAAGACUGACGUUUUAAAAGCAAAGAUAACGUAGCAGCCGGUGGCAGAAGCUGAAGAGACACUCCUGAAUCCUGGCUGCCAGGUGGGGAUCUGGCCUUGGUCUUGGCUCAUUGCAACAAAAGAGCAGCCAAAGAGGUCAAGAGGAAAGCUCAACCUUGAAGGGGUUCGAUUUCGGAGUAACCCUAGCCGACCGCCCAAGCUGAAGCUGCUUUUCUCAAAGCAUUGUCACUACCAGGCACGGCAGCUAUAGGUGCCCCACGUGACACACAGGUGACAUCACCUGUCCUGCUCAUCCAGUUUGCCUUAUUGCGUAUGCCAGAGGCCCCUAAAAAUUGUUUUAUUAAUUUAAGACGUUACCAGUUUGCCCUGGAUAUUGCUGAAGGGGUCCCUUUGAAGAACUUUCGACAUCAUUCUGUUCCUUCCUUCCUUCCUCCCUCCCUCCCUCUCUUCCUUCCUUCCUUUUGGCACUUUUUUUUUUUUUAUUGUGGCAAAAUACAUGUAACAUAAAAUUCACCAUUUUAACCAUUUUUAAUAUGUAAUUCAGUGGAAAUUAAUUACAUUCACAGUGUUGUGCAACCAUCACCAAUAUCUGUUUCCAAAACUUUUUUGUGACCCCACGCAGAAACUCUGUACCCACUAAACAAUAACCACAUACGUCCCGCCCCAGACCUUGGUAACCUUGGAUCUGCUUUCUGUCCCUAUGAAUGUGCCUAUUCUAGGUACCUCACAUAAGCAGAAUCAUACGGUGUUUGUUCUUUUGUGUCUGUCUUAGUUGACAUAGUAUAAUGUCUUCAAGGUGCAUCCAUGUUGUAGCAUGCGUCAGAAUUUCCUUCCUUUUUAGGACUGAAUAAUAUUCCAGUGCAUGGAUGGACCAUUUUUUUAAUCCAUUCAUCCUUGGAACUUGUGGUUGUGUCUACCUUUUGACUGUGGUGAAUGAUUCUUCUACGAAUAUGGGUGUAAAAUAUCUCAGUUCUUGCUUUCGAUUCCUUUGGGUGUAUACCCAGAAGAGGAAUUGCUAGAUCAUAUGGUAAUACUAUGUUUAGCUUUUGAGGAACUGUCAAACUGUCUUCCGUAGUGGAUGCACUAUUUUACGUUCCCAUCAGCAGUGCACUAGGGUUUCAAUUUCUCCACAUCCUUACCAACAUUUGUCACUUUCGUUUUUUUAAAAAAAUAACCAUUCUAAUGGAUGUGAAGUGGUAUCUCAUUGUGGUCUUGAUUUGCUUUUUCCUAAUGACUGGUGAUGUUGAUCAUCUUUUUAUGUGCUUAUUGGCCAUCUGAAUAUCUGCUUUGAAGAAAUGUCUAUGCAAGUCUUUUGCCCAUUUUUGUAUUGAGUAGUGUGUUUUUUUGGUUAUUGAAAUGUAGGAGUUCUUUAUAUAUUCUGGAUACUAAUUCCUUAUCUGAUAUAUGAUUUGCAAAUAUUUUCCCCCAUUCUAUAGGCUGUCUUUUCACUCUCUUGGUAGUAUUCUUGGAUGCACAAAUGUUUUGAAUUUUGAUCAAGUCCAGUUUAUUUACUUUUUCUUUUCUUGCCUGUACUUUUGUUGUCAGGUGCCAAAUCAUUGCUGAAUCCAAUGUCAUGAAAAUUUUCCCUAUGUUUUCUUCUAAGAGCAUUAUAGUUUUAGUACUUAUGUUUAGGUCUUUCACCCAUUUCAAGUUAGUUUUUGUGUAUGGUGUGAAGUAAGGAUCCAACUUCAUGCAUGUGAAUAUCUAGUGUUCCCAGCACCAUUUGUUGAAAAGACUAUCUUUCCCCAGUCUUAUUUUCUUUUAUGUUUACAUGUUUUUAAGUUUCCUGCUAAGAUAAGGAAAGUGAGAAUUACUUAAAUUGUAAGCAAUAUAUAAACAAAAUGUAAGUAAAUACAAUAAUGAAACCAGAUAUUAUAGGGAGCUAUGUUAAUAUUACAAGUCUAAGCUUUGCCUCUUUCAUGAUUCCCUACUUCUUCAGCCUGAAACAAUUCCAUCUUGUAUUGAUGUCUUAACUUUCAUUGCCUAUAUUUUUUUUCACGCAUUUAAAAAAAUUUUAUUUAUUUUAUUUAUUCAUUUUUGGCUGCGUUGGGUCUUCAUUGCUGCACGCGGGCUUUCUCUAGUUGCGGCGAGCGGGGGCUACUCUUCGUUGUGGUGCGCGAGCUUCUCAUUGCGGUGGCUUCUCUUGUUGCGGAGCAUGGGCUCUAGGCGCUUGGGCUUCAGUAGCUGUGGCACGAGGGCUCAGUAGUUGUGGCUUGUGGGCUCUAGAGCACAGGCUCAGUAGCUGUGGCACACGGGCUUAGUUGCUCCAUGGCAUGUGGGAUCCUCCCAGACCAGGGAUCGAACCCGUAUCCCCUGCAUUGGCAGGCGGAUUCUUAACCACUGUGCCACCAGGGAAGUCCCUUUGCUUGCAUUUUUAAAUUGAAAUGUAUUUGACAUUAACACUGUGUAAAGUUAAGGUGUUAUAAUUUUUUAAAAAUUAUUAAUUGGCUACCUUUUGCUUCAGCCUCCCAACUUUUUUUCUCACAAACUACAUAAACUUAUUUUUCACAGUGUUUGGUGGGGGCUUAUUUCCUAGACUACACCUUCUCUAUAGCUACACCUUCUCAGAAAAUUGGUGCCUGCUGUUGGCAGGAAGCCUUAGAUCUUCUUAGGUUUUCUCUAUAGGGCUGCUUGAGUGUCCUCACAGCAUGGUACUUAGCUAUCCCCAGAGGAGCAGUCUAGGAGACCAAGGAAGGGGCUCCUAUGAUCUCUCGGUAGCUGCACAGCUCAUUAUGACUCUCUUAAUGUCAGGUUAAGCAUCUGCGUUAGGCAUGAUUUUACAUGCAUCCAGUGUCCUCUGAUGCAGUGUCAGGCUGAGGAGUCUCACAUCUUGCUGUCAGCAAGAUGGAGGCCAUGGAGAGCUGGUGAUGCAGCUCCAGUCCAAAUCUGAAGUCCUGAGACCCAGGGGAGCCAAUGGUGUAAGUCCCAUGGAGAAGCCACCAACUUUUCUUGGGCGCAGUUCUUGUAUUCUGCCUCAGAACUCAGAGACUGAGGUGAGGGAUGCCUGCAGAAUCCACUCAGCACUCACGCACUCACAACCCAGAAAUGCAGGGGAGUCAGUGCCCUGUGGGGAGAAUCUUGACCAAUGGGAUCAAGAACCAGUCCUUCCCGAUCUAAGGUGGAUAAUUCUGAGGCCAUUCAACGUGGCUCCUCAAAAAGUCCUAAAGAGGCGGAGACUCAGUUUCCUACAACAACCCUUAUGAAAACACACCUUUGUACCGGUUUUCCCUCCUUUCCUGUUUUACUUUCCCCAGUUCCAUGAGAUUACUGCCCACCUAGCCCCCGCCAGCUCCAACACUUUUACUCAAGCCUUGGUCUCAAUGCUUGCUUUCCAGGAAGAGCACAGGCUAAUACAGCAACCUGAGUCUUUUGAUAUCUCUUCUUUUUUUUUUUUCUUAGUCAAAAAAAAGCAAAUGAUUUCUUGUGACCAGCGAUAUAAGAUAAAAGGAAAAUAAAUGUUAAGAGUCAGCAAGGAAGGAUUUGGCUAUGUGGUUAAGAUAGAAAUACUUGGUUUCUGUAUUAGGCUAAGCAAAAGCAAUAGCCUGAAAAUAGCCACUAUUGUGGAAUCAGCUAUUCUGAAGUCGCUGCCAGUUGACCGGAAGCUGUCAUUUCUCCUGCCUGUCAUUAUAGCUUCUCACAGUGCAUUGUUUUGUGCAGGGGCCGCCAGUGUGGUAGUUUCUCCUGUGUAGCUGGGUCACACGCCUUCCUCUUGCUUUUUUAAUCAAAGGUUUAUUUCCUAAUUUGUUUUUAAAGUGUACAAUUCAGUGGUUUUCAGCAGAGUCACAAAGUUGUACAAUCAUCCCCACCAUCUAACGCCCAAACCUUUCCAUCGCUCCAAACAGAAACCCGUAUUCACCAACCGUCACUCCCGGUUCUCCCCUCCUCCAAGUCCCCGUGAGCCACUAAUCUGCUUUCUGUCUCUAGAAACUGGCCCAUUCUGGACAUUUAAUAUUAACGGAAUCAUACAAUACAUGACCUUCUGUGUCUGGAUUCUUUCACUUAGCGUAAUGGCUUCAGGGUUCAUCCAUGUUGUAGCCUGUGUCAGUACUUCUGAGUUCUUUCUUCCGGACACCAGCCAAUUCUCUGCCACCAGCUGGCUGCCCUACAAUUCAAUUCAGUUUUUCCACUAACUCCUGGAGUAAGCCCCAGACCCCACAUUUUAAGGGCUCAGUCCCACAAGACUGCUCCUGCUUCAGACACCGACUGCCAAUGGGGUGCCCAGGCUACCCACAUUUCUGCCCAGGAAACUACAAAUUCAGGGGUUCCCAUGACCACUCCCCGCUUAAGGCUGAUAAUUCGCUAGAAUGACUCCGACUCACAGAACUGAGGAAAGCACUUCACUUAGAGUAACCAGUUUGUUAUAAAGGCUCCAGCUCAGGGCCAGGCAAUGGAAGAGGUGCGUGGGGCCAAGCAUGGUGAGGGGAGGCCCAGAGCUUGAAGCCUUCUCAGGGCACACCACCCUCCCAGCACUUCGAUGUGUUCAUCAACCCAGAAGCUCUCUGAGCCCCAUUAUUUAGGGGGUUCUAUGGAGUUUCAUUACGUGGUUGAUUAAAUCAAUAGCCAUUGGUGAUUGAACUCAAUCUCCUGCCCCUCUUCCCUCCCUGGAUGUUGGGGAUGGAGCUGAAAGGUCCAACUUUCUAAUCAUGGAUGGGUCUUUCUUGCAACCAGCUCCCAACCUGAAGCCUUCUAGGGGCCCACCAAGAGUCAACUCAUUAGCACAAACUCAGGUGUGGUUGAAAGGGGCUUGUUAGGCAUAACAAAAGACUCUCCUAUUACUUAGGAAAUUCCAAGGGUUUUAGGAGCUCUGUGCCAGGAACCAGGGACAGAGACUAGAUAUAUAUUUUUUAUUGUUCCAUAAUACUUUAUUCCUUGUUAUGGCUGAAUAGUAUCCCAUUGUAUGGAUACACCACAUUUUGUUUAUCCGUUCCUCAGUUGAGAGACAUUUGGGUUGUUUCUGCCCUUUGGCUAUUGUGAAUAGUACUGAUGUGAACAGAACAUUCAUACACAAGUUUUGUGUGGACAAAACCUGGGUAAAUACCUAGGAGUAGAAUCAAAUGGUAACUCCAUGUUUAACUGUUUUAGGAACUGCCAAACUGUUUCCCAAACACUUGUAUUUUUUUUUAAACUUUCUAUGUACACUAUUUAGGCUUUAUCUCCCCAUCACUUUUAUAAACUCUUUGAAGGAAGGACCAGUGUUUUCCACUCCCCUGAACCUGCCACAGUAUUUAUCCUAAUGCCUUACACCUAGUAGGGACUCAGUAAGUAUUCGUGUGUGAUCAUGUCGUCACGACAAUACGCCCUUUACGCUGGGAGUCAGUAGCAAAAGCAGCCUUACUGUCGGUUGGUGGACAUAUAUAUGGCUUUCUUUGCUUCUUUGCUCUCCACACGGGAGAAUUUCAGGCAGUGGUUGGUGUGUGUAUGUUGUGGGAACGGGCAGAGUGUGGUGAUGGUAGUUGGGUGCUAGUUAAGAGGAGUGGAGUUGGAAGGAGUGGCGGCUUCUGGUCACGUGCUUGUUCAGAUCCCCGGAGAGUGUUGAGCGGUUCUCAUUCCAAGUGACGUGUCUGGUUUAUACCGCACUCACGUUUGGAAGGGCCGUCGCUGUGCCGCCGACUCAUCCCAACUCUCCACCCACGCACAUGGCAGAGCCUUGCUCCAGGCAGUAAUCGGGACUCUUUCAUCCACAAGUGACAGAGAACCAAUUUAAACUUACUCUUGGAGGAAAAAAAAAAAAAAAGCAGAGGAGCAGUUUCUUGGCCUAUAGCCAAGAUGGCCAAGUUCUCAUCUUCGGCGGGGCUGGGUCCACCGUCAUCAGAUGGGUUGCUCACGUCCGCUGUCUCCCUGAGUCUGGACUCUGUUUUCUUCUGUCUUGACUUUUUUCUCAGAAAGAUUCUUGCCACCUGGCAGAGUAUGACGUCCCCUGGCAGCUCCAUCUGCCUCCUCACUAGCUCUUUGACAUAUAAAUACUGGAAAGCAAGGCAGCUACCAGGAGCUUGGCUAAGUUCCGUUUACCGUCAUGCUGGUGACCGUGGUGGCCUCACAUCAGGCUGAAGCUUAUCCUUCUCAGGGGGGAGACCUUGGACAUCCGUCCAAGGUCUGCUCUCCUCACCACGACUUCCUGUGGGCAUCCUUGUCUAGCCCCGCCACCCCCGCACCUCAUCCCGUUCUUGUCAAGGACACAGGCUGAGCUCAGCUGCCGAAAGGCCGGAAAACACGGCGUCUGGCGACCCGUUCUUCAAGACUUCCCGCUGCGCCUUUCCUUCUCUACGUGCACCUUUGCCGCGCUCAUCAAGCCCACGGGAAGGCACCUGGUACUGCCGGGCAGUCAUUCAUGGAGAGGACCUUGAGAGGCUGGGGAGUGAACCCCAAGGUGUGCAGGGCGCGGGCGACGGCGUGAGCCUGAGCACCGUCUUCAGUUGAGCCCAGCUGUCCUGCAUCUUCCCCGAUACUGAGGUCUGAAUCCCCACCGUGAUCAUAAAACCAGGACGUCCUCAGAAGCCCAGCUCGGCUCGAGGGCAAGAUUUGGAAGUUCUCUGUCCCCAGUGCCUUCCGUCUCUCUGUGGCUACUGCUCCGUCACCUCCAAAACGUUUUCAGCCACGAAUGGGGCGAGACGUGGAGAGGACUGGAGGCCGGCUCACUUCACACUGUCACGUUCCAGCAAAAACUCCGAAUUUAAACCAAGCCAGCGUUAUGAAAAUACGUUCGUCAAAGUAGAAGGAUAUAAGAUUUUUAACAGCUUGUUAGCCUAAGUUUUAAAUCUUAAAUAUUAACUCUGGAGUGUGUUUCUUUGUCUGUAUUUGUGCCUUGAGCCCUGCAAACGCCAGAAACAGACCUGCCUCUCUUCUUCCUUCUCUCGCUAACUCUGCCAUCUGUUGUCUCAGGCCCCCUCAUAGGAGGGAGGGACCGAAAGCACUAGCUCUGCCCAGUCCAGCCCUGCGUCUGCAUCUGCUUGUACCUCUUGCACGGGGCAGUCGCUGAUGGACCCAAGCCCUAGCAGAGACAGCUUGGGAGAGAGAAUGAUGCGAUCGGCGUAUUUAACCCUCAUUUGGAAAAGGUUGUUGGUGGAAAAACUAAGAAAAAAAUCCCAUCGGUGGGGUUGAGAACAGAAAACCUCAGCUGCGGGAAACCAGGACACGCUGAGCAGAGAUGCCCCAGACGCAGCCGAGGGCUUACUCUAUGGGAAGCGUCACCUGGUCGCAGGAGCCCACGGAACUCACAUUCACUGUCCCAUCACCCACCUCAGGGGUUCAUCACGGUGACUUGAAGAUGAGGAAACGGAGGCACCACUGGGCCAGGGAUUACAGCAUGUGAAUUGUAUCUCAAUUUUCAAAAAGUCAAAUAUCAACACUUGGCCAGGACCCGUGCAUAGCUUGCAGGGCCCAGUACAGAAUGAAAACGUGCGGCCCCUUGUUCAGAUACUAUGAGGAACUUGAAGGUGGUGACAGCAGGCCACUAAACCGAGCCCGGGGUCCUUCUGAGCCUCUGAGGCCACGCAGGCCACACUCCGUGAAGCCAGCCUGGCCUCGGGUUCCCGUCCCGAGCCUGGUGUGCGAACGCCUCCGGCACGUCAGUGACUCCCAAGCCGGGGACCCAGAUCCCUGGGUCCCUCUGACAAAAUGUUUCGUGUCUUGAGGCUUUUUUCAUUCACUGUCAUCGCUCAAGCUCGAGAAGCCCUGGGCCGUCUCUCCUCUUAUCAGAAGUCAGUCCCUCCAUGCUGGGGGCGGGGGUGUAGAGGAGCCAGGUUUUGCGCCGGCCCGCAGCCUAUGUAACUUGGGGGCCCUCUUUAAGAAAAAGAACACAAAAUUACAAAUCGAAAGGAGGCCUUGCAAGGGCCGCAGGCAGGGAGGAGCCCUGAGGCUGGAGCUUCCUUGCUCAUGCCUGCCCUGUCCCCUGUCCUUAAUUCCCCCCCCCGACCCCACCCCGGCCACCACCGUUCCCGCGCUCUUCUUCUCUCUCCGGGUGCCCUCGUGGAGCCAGACUUCUUGGAAGGGUGGUUAAUGGUUAAGUCUUCACCGCGGACUGCCCCUCCGUCUGCCACAUCUCCCUCCCUUCCUGUGCCGACAGGUGGCCUCCUCGGGUUCAGCGCUGGAUCCGGCCCCACGUAGCCGGGACCUGUGGACUGUGUCGGUGCUUCUCUGUUGGACUCUCCAGCUAGUUGUCAGCGCUGGGGACGCUCUUUCUCAGGCUCCUCCCUUUGUUCGGUGGCACCACGGCUCCCCUUUGUCCCUCUUCGGUCUCUGUUCCUUUGCUCCCUUUGGGGGCCCUUGUCUUUAUGGCGCAUGAACUAACUGGCCCACCGGGACCCCGUGCUCCAGCCCUUUUCUCUUUUUCUCUACACCAUCUUCCUAACCCCCUGUACUUCUUAUGUGCUCCAGAUUUUCUCGCUAGUCUAGUCCAAACCUCUCCUCCGAGCUCCGGCCUCAGAGCUGCCAGCUCGACGCCUCCUCUGGGAGGGGCUAUCUCAGUAUGUCCAACACUGGGCUUGGGUUUCCCUUCCCAUCCCUCCCCUGGUUUUACCCAUCCCGGUGACACACUUCCACGUAACCUGCUGCUCGAGUCAGAAAUGUGGGAGUCGUCCUUGAUUCAUCAGUAAAUCCCACAGAUCCAUCCGCCAUCACCACCAAAAACCAGACCUCAACUGUAUUUACUGAUACUUCUCUCCAUUUUCCACGCUAACACCCUCGCCAUCAUGAUAACUAGUCCAUCGUUUCUAAAUUCCAGCAAGAGCCUCAUCACUGGUCAUCUCACUUCCCCCGUUGCUCCCUCUCAAAUCUGCUUUUCUUUUUCUCUUUGUCCACACCGCACAGCUUGCGGGAUCUCAGAUCCCCAGCCGGGGAUUGAACCCGGACCGCAGCCGUGAACGCGCCGAAUCCUAGCCACUAGAGCACUAGGGAAGUCCCUCAAGUCUGUUUUUCAUAAACAGCAGGAGCAGCAGUGUCCACAGAAAUAGAAUAUGAUCGCGUGUGUAAUCAAAAUUUUGCCAGUAGCCACUUUAAACGAAAACAAAACAAAACAAAACGGGUGAAAUUAAUUUUAAUCAUACAAUCUAUUAACCUAAUGUAUUCAGAAUAUCAUUUCCAUGUGUAAUCAAUACAAAAGUUAUUAAUGAGAUACUUUACAUUUUUAAUGUCAUUUAAAAUAUACCAAACCGUGCAUACCGUACACGUACAGUGCACCUCAGCUCUGACAUGCCGCAUUUCAAGGGUGCGGUGGCCACACGUGGCUGGUAGCUGCCACGCUGGCGCAAGAGUCCGAGUGAGUUUUUACCGAAGCAAGGUGGGUUAGGUCAUCCCCCGCUUAAUAACUCCUCGGUGGUGGCACGGUGCUCAGAGACCUGCAAGGGGAUCCACAGUCUGGCCUCACCUUGCCGACGUCCUCAACAUCCUCGAGGCCUUCUUCCUGCCGUUCGCUUUGCUCAGCUGCCUCGGCCUCCUGUCAGCUCUGAGAACACACCAGAUCUCCGCGUCCGCGCGUGCCGUGGCUGACUCCUCCUCACCCUCAAAUUUCACCUUAAAUACUUUCUCCUCAGACGGGCCUUCCUUGCCCGUAUCGAAGAGGGUCCAUCUCCGUUAUCAUGUCACAGUAUUCUCUCUGUUACCUUCAUAGUGUUUUUUCUAGUUUGUAACUGUAUGUUUACUAGUCAGUUUAUUGUGUGUCUCCCCCCAGGAGACCAUGAGUUUCAUGAAGGCGGGAGCUAUCUCCAGGGCUGUAUAAGAUCCUGGCUCUAGUUGGCACUCCAUAAAGGAAUAUCUGAGCACCUUCUCUCCCCUCACUAAGGGAACUAGCAAACAGAUUUAUUUCAGUAAUGCUACGCAUCAAAUUACAAUAAAUGCACAAUGAAUAAAUGCAUCAUGGCCGGCAGAGCUUCCUUCCUAUUAAACAAGGAAGGUUUGACUAUAGGCAAAAUUAGAUUUGGUUUAUCUUUGAAGAGAUCUUAAUCAUUCACUCUGCAAACAAGGCAGUUUCCUUGAAAAACUAAGGGGAGCGGUGCUUCUAGGUGUCCCAGAUCUCAGUCGAAUGGCUCCGUGAAAGUGAAGCUGUUACUCGGUGAGCCAGCGCCAGGGACUCCAAAGCCUGGGUGGCUCUGGGGAGAUGGGAGAUGGUGGAUCUCCUUGAUGCCAGCCCAGAGGGAUUCGUCACCGGUUCAUUCAUUCAGCGGAUGUCCGUGAGCCUGUGAACACCUUUACAGCAGCCACUGUGCUAGGCUCUGGGGCUACAGCGCUCAACCAAACAGACGAAGAUCCCUGCCUACAUUCUAGUGAGGGGAGACGGAUGCUAAUUAAGAAACUUAAGUAUGCUGUUAUUUCUGGCAAGAAAAAUAAAGUCUGGAACGGGGGUGGGGAGCACAGGGCUUACAGUGUUAGGUAGGGUGACCAGAAAACGCCUCCCUGAGACGGUGACAUUUGCAUAAAGAUCUGAAGGAGGUGCGGCACUGGCCUGUGGGGCCGUCUGAGGUGAGGGAGCUCCGGGGGGCUAAGGGGACAGCGAGGAGGCCAGCGUGGCUGGAGGAGAGUGAAGAGCAGGCGGCGGAGCUGGAGGUGAGGUCGCAAGCGUUGGGAUGGGCGGGCGCAUCACGUGGAACCAGACGUCGGCCGCCGUGAGGACUCGGGUUCUCACUCUGGGUGAGGUGGCAGGUCAGCGGAGGGCUGUGAGCACGAGUGACACGGUGCUGACUUGCGUUUCAAAAGGAUCCUCCCACGUGUGUGGGACGGGAACGCACGGAGCAAGAAAGAAAAGGGGAGGGCUAGCAGGCCUUCACUUGGCACCCAAGCAACAACGCUGGAAACCGCCUCUUCGGAAGCGUGGCUCCGGAUUCACCUUCUCCCUGCGCUAUAGGCCCGGGGCGCUGGCGCGCGGGGCCUGGGCUGUGCUCCAGGAGGGCAGGCAGGACGCUGGAGCUCGUGUGACAAGAGCAGCUGAUCGCUGGUGAGGCUGCAGGAGGUCCUGGAGCAGCUUCUUUGUCGCUGGGAAGCUGACCCUCCUGGGUGCGGUCACACAGUGAUGGCCGUGGCCCGGGACGGUUGGGGAAACCAGCUACGUCUACCGUCGGCCUCUCUCAGCCUGGACAACCUUUGAGAGAGGUGCGUCUCUUUUGAAUUUGCACAGAUGAGAUGGGGCAGAAGGGAGAACUAACAUUUCUCAUUGGUGCAGCGUGCAGACUGUGUCAAAAUGUGUUGCUGAAUCUAUUUUGCCCCAACCGUGAGAAAGCAAGACUUACCGUAAACAGAAGAUGUAAUUGUGGGGUUGAGAAUUUAAGGAGCUCCAAAAUGGCUCCUCUAGAUAAAUUUAUCUCUGCUAAUCGUUGUUUACCUCUGCUGCAUUCUUUUACUUUUUCUGUUUUUUAUUUGAAUGGAAACAUGCUUUUUCCUGCUCUCAAAAAAUAAGACGUGUACAUGGUUAGAAGGUCAAGCGGUACAAAAGGGUAAACAAUGCUAAGAAAUGAUAUUGACAUGUAGAGUCCCAAUUAUACAAACAUGUAAAGUCUUCUUAAAUUCAUCUAUAUAUUUGACCCCCCAAAACUGCCACCAGAACUUUUCUAGAACUAGACAAGGCAAUGCUAAAGUAAAUGCUGAAAGGUAAGCGUGCAAAAAUUGUGAUAAAAUUCUGAAAAGGAAAAAUAACAGGGUAAAAUUAGCCCUAGAAGAUUGAAAUGUAUUAUAAAAUUACCAUAAUUAAAAGUUUGCCAGCGGCACAGGAAUUGACAGAUUAGUGGUAUAAAAUAGUAUCCAGAAAUAGACCCAAAUAUACAUUAGAAAUGUGUAUAAGAAAAAGGUAGAGGGCUUCCCUGGUGGCGCAGUGGUUAAGAAUCCGCCUGCCAAGGCAGGGCACACGGGUUCGAUCCCUGGUCCGGGAAGGUCCCACAUGCCGCAGAGAAACUAAGCCCGUGCGCCACAACUACUGGGCCCGUGCUCUAGAGCCUGUGGGCCACAACUACUGAGCCCGUGUGCCUAGAGCCCGUGCUCCACAACAAGAGAAGCCACUGCAGUGAGAAGGCCACGCACCGCAAUGAAGAGUAGCCCCCCGCUCACCGCAACUAGAGAAAGCCCGCGCACAGCAACAAAGACCCAGUGCAGCCAAAAAUAAAAUAAAUUAAUUAAAAAAAAAUUUUUUUUAAAAAGAAAAAGGUAGAAUGUCAAGAUUUUUGGGGGAAAAUUAUUAAUAAAUGGAGUUGAAACAUUUAACUUACUAUCUAGAAAAAAAAUUAGAUCCCUACCUCAUUCCUUAUACCAAAACAAAUUCCAGAUGGAUCAAAUAUUUGGAUGUUAAAAAUAAAACCAUAAAAGUAAAACAGUUGGAGAAUUUAAGGAAAUAAUCUUGGAUGAUGUUAGAGGCUGAAUUGUGUUCCCUCAAAAUUCAUAUGUUGAAGUCCUAACCCCCAGUAUCUCAGAAUGUGACUGUUUUUGGAGAUAGGGAAGGUAAUUAAAUUUAAAAUAAGGUCAUAGCAGUGGGCCCUAAUCCGAUAUGACUGGUGUCCAUGUAAGAAGAGAUUAGGACACAGGCACAGAGAGAAGACACAGGGAGAAGACAGCUGUCUAAAGCCAAGGAGAGAGGCCUCAGAAGAAACCAACCCUGAUGACACCUUGAUUUGGACCUCCAGCCUCCAGAACUGAGAGGAAAUACAUUUCUGUUGUUUAAGCCACCCUGUCUGUGGUACUCUGUUAUGGCAGGUUUGCAAACUCAUACAGGUGACUAAAAUCUUUCCGAGCAAGAUAUGAAAUUCAGAAGUCAUAGAAGAAACAAUUGAUAAAUUUGACUACGUAAUAAUUUUAAAUUUCUGCACAGAAAUAAAAACAAAUGACAGGGCUUCCCUGGUGGCGCAGUGGUUGAGAAUCCGCCUGCCGAUGCAGGGGACACGGGUUCGUGCCCAGGUCCGGGAAGAUCCCACAUGCCGCGGAGUGGCUGGGCCCGUGAGCCGUGGCCGCUGAGCCUGCGGGUCCGGAGCCUGUGCUCCGCAACGGGAGAGGCCACAACAGUGAGAGGCCCGCGUACCACAAAAAAAAAAAACAAAAAAACAAAAAAAAACAAAUGACAACAAUUAAAAGCCCCCCAAAAUUAAAAAGACAGCACACCAGGAAAAAAUAUGACACCCAAAGGGCUAAUUUCCUUAAUUUAAAAAAAAAGAGCCCUUAUCAGACCUUCCUUCCCUCCUUCCCUCCUUCCUUCCCUCCCUUCUUUCUUUGUUUCUCUUUCUCUUUCUUUCCAUAAAAGCUGAACAUCCAAAAAUGUAUACGGUAUUUCCUGAUGGUUUCCCGUUGAAUGCUAAUUUCAGUUGUAAGUGCAGUACCAUCCGACACUGCGUGGGGCUCCUAGCUGAGGACCUGUAGUCUAGACGCCCACCGCAGGGGGCCUGGCCUUAAGCAGUUCCGCUCAAAGUGGCCGUGCGUCCUUUUAAGCUCUCACUGCCCUUGAGAGAUGCAGAAUUAGGGUUUCUUCCUAGUCAUCCAGAAUCACGCACAGGCACACUCACACGCACACACACACACGACUAAUAUUAACUCUCCAGUACGGUGCUCUCCGGAGCAGCCUUAUAGAAGAAACUAUUUCCCCAUAAACAGCAUGAUGCUUUCUGACCCAAGUGGGAAUAAUAGCCUUAGAGUUUUGGUGCAGAGCUGUGGCAGCCACUGCCUUUGUCCUCACCUUACAAGAGGCCCGUCUGCCUGGGAAUCAUCCUCCGCAGAGCUGUCGUUGAUCGAUGGCUACGCUGAGAGCCUGAAGAGGCUUAAAAGACCCCUUCUCUGUGCUUUAAGCCAAAUCACAUUCCCAGGCAGACAUCUCCAGAAGGGAAAGAGGAAACGGGAGGACUUAUGAUCCCGAGGAACCCCCUCCCGUGAGCAAGUGUGAGGUGAGGGUAGGGACAGUGCACUGUCCGCAAGCGUGGGGAGGGUGGGCUGGAAAACUUCACACUUCACGCUGUUAACUGUGGUUAAUCUCGGGUGAUGAGAUUUGGAAUGGUUUUGCUUUUCUUCUAUUUAAUUUUCUAAAUUUUCUGCAGUGAAAUUGUAUUGCUUUUCUAAACAGGAGAAAGAACAAUAAAUGUUAUAAAAACCAUUUUGUAUGUUAAUCUUAUCUUCCUAACUAGACCAUAUAAACUCCCUGAAAGAGGGGUCACAUAUUUUUCUUUUCCUCCUUCUUCUUCUCCUCCUUCUCUUUCUCUCUCUUUUUAAAAAUUUUUUUAAAAAUUUUAUUUAUUUUAUUUUAUUUAUUUAUUUUUGGCUGCGUUGGGUCUUCGUUGCUGCGCGCGGGCUUUCUCUAGUUGUGGCGAGCGGGGGCUACUCUUCGUUGUGGUGCACAGGCUACUCAUUGCGGUGGCUUCAGUUGUUGCAGAGCACGGGCUCUAGGCAUGCGGGCUUCCAUAGUUGUGGCACGUGGGCUCAGUAGUUGUAGCUCAUGGGCUCUAGAGCGCAGGCUCAGUAGUUGUGGCACAUGGGCUUAGUUGCUCCGCGGCAUAUGGGAUCUUCCCGGGCCAGGGCUUGAACCUGCGUCCUCUGCGUUGGCAGGCAGAUUCUUAACCACUGCGCCACCAGGGAAGUCCCUUUUUUUUAAAAGUUUUUUUU